rnacentral:rRNA from 1 species
AGAGUUUGAUCAUGGCUCAGAACGAACGCUGGCGGCAGGCUUAACACAUGCAAGUCGAACGCCUGUAGCAAUACAGGAGUGGCAGACGGGUGAGUAACACGUGGGAACGUGCCCAAAGGUACGGAACAACUCCGGGAAACUGGAGCUAAUACCGUAUGUGCCCGAGAGGGGAAAGAUUUAUCGCCUUUGGAUCGGCCCGCGUCUGAUUAGCUAGUUGGUGGGGUAAUGGCCUACCAAGGCGACGAUCAGUAGCUGGUCUGAGAGGAUGGCCAGCCACACUGGGACUGAGACACGGCCCAGACUCCUACGGGAGGUAGCAGUGGGGAAUAUUGGACAAUGGGCGCAAGCCUGAUCCAGCCAUGCCGCGUGAGUGAUGAAGGCCUUAGGGUUGUAAAGCUCUUUCGCC